rnacentral:rRNA from 1 species
AACGAACGCUGGCGGCAGGCUUAACACAUGCAAGUCGAACGAGCUGGGAACUUCGGUUCCCGAUGCUAGUGGCGCACGGGUGAGUAACACGUGGGAACAUACCCUUUAGUACGGAAUAACUCAGGGAAACUUGAGCUAAUACCGUAUGACUCCUUCGGGAGAAAGAUUUAUCGCUAAAGGAAUGGCCCGCGUCUGAUUAGGUAGUUGGUGAGGUAACGGCUCACCAAGCCGACGAUCAGUAGCUGGUCUGAGAGGAUGAUCAGCCACACUGGGACUGAGACACGGCCCAGACUCCUACGGGAGGCAGCAGUGGGGAAUAUUGGACAAUGGGCGAAAGCCUGAUCCAGCCAUGCCGCGUGAGUGAAGAAGG